rnacentral:rRNA from 1 species
GUGCCAGCAGCCGCGGUAAAACGUAGGAGACGAGCGUUAUCCGGAUUUACUGGGCGUAAAGCGCGUGCAGGCGGCUUGGCAAGUUGGAUGUGAAAUCUCCCGGCUCAACUGGGAGGGGUCGUUCAAAACUACCGAGCUAGAGGAUGGUAGAGGAAGGUGGAAUUCCCGGUGUAGUGGUGAAAUGCGUAGAUAUCGGGAGGAACACCAGUGGCGAAAGCGGCCUUCUGGACCAUUCCUGACGCUCAGACGCGAAAGCUAGGGGAGCGAACGGGAUUAGAUACCCCCGUAGUCC